GUAGUUGGUUAAUCUGUCGCUUCUCUCAGAGAAGAGGAAAGUCCGGACAACACAGAGUGCCCUAUUAUCUAACGGAUAGCUGUUUGCGAGAGCAGAGUUAAGUAGAAGAAAAUAACCGCCUUUUUAAGGUAAGGGUGAGAAGGUGAGGUAAGAGCUCACCGGUUCUUAUAGCAAUAUAGGAAGCCGUACAACUUAGGGGUUGCAAAAUCAUGUAUACCGACGUAUGUAGGAUUACUCGUCCGAUGUCGGGGGGUAGAUUGCUUGAGUUUGUUGGCGACAACAAAUCUAGAUAAAUGACAGAUGACUCUUUCGGGAGUAACAGAAUCCGGCUUAUCAACCAACUGCAAUU
rnacentral:RNase_P_RNA from 1 species